GCUGCCGCCAGCGCCCGCGCCUGCUCUGGGAGGAAGCGGGGCGGCGGCGGCCGGCCGAGCGGGACACGCCUUUCGCCCUCCCCGUCCCGGCCCCCCGGGCCCCGCCGCCCACCGCGGGCGCGGCGCAGCGCAGCGCGGCCGCCGCGGCCCCGCCAUGAGCCGGAGGUAGCGGCGGCGGCGCCUUCCGCAGCCGCCGCCGCCGCCCGCCCUGCCGCGGCGGCGGCCGGGCCCGCGAUGCCGAACCAGAAGGGCGGCAAGGGCAAGAAGAACAAGCGCGCCAACAGCAGCGGCGACGAGCAGGAGAACGGGGCGGCAGCGGGCGGCGGAGCCGCGGCAGCAGCGGGCGGCGGCGCCGCGGCUGGCGGCGGAGCCGGAGCGGCGGCGGCGGGCGGCGGCGGCGGGGCGGGCGGCGGAGCGGGCGGCGCUGCGGCCGCAGGCGGCGCGGCGCCCGGAGACGUCAAGAGCGAAGCCCCUUGUGCUACUCCACUGAUCUGUAGCUUUGGAAGGCCGGUGGACCUCGAGAAGGAUGACUACCAGAAGGUUAUAUGCAACAACGAGCAUUGUCCGUACAGCACCUGGAUGCAUCUUCAGUGCUUCUACGAGUGGGAAAGCAGCAUUCUCGUCCAGUUCAACUGCAUUGGCAGAGCCAGGAGCUGGAAUGAAAAGCAGUGUCGCCAGAACAUGUGGACGAAGAAGGGAUAUGACCUGGCUUUUCGCUUUUGCUCCUGUCGGUGCGGGCAGGGUCACUUAAAGAAGGACACGGACUGGUACCAGGUGAAGCGAAUGCAGGAUGAUAAGAAGAAGAAAUCGGUGUUGGAGAAGAGCACGGGAAGAUCGAUGGCAGAGUCAGCGGAGGAGGCCAAAAAGGGCAGGCCGGCCAACAAGCCGCAGAAAGGCUUGAGUCAUGACCUCCAGCGAAGGCAUUCGAUGGAUAGGCAGAACUCCCAGGAGAAGGGCGUCAUGGGUGGCAGCUACGCCGUUCGUUCUCCUUGCGUCUCUCCUGGCCAGUCCCCACCCACCGGCUACUCUAUUCUUGCCCCCACGCAUUUCAGCGGCCCUCGUUCCUCACGAUACUUAGGAGAGUUUUUGAAGAACGCCAUUCACCUGGAGCCCCAUAAGAAGAACAUGGCUGGUGGGGGCAUGUUCAGGAACGCACAUUUUGAUUACGGGGCAGCUGGUUUGCAAGCACAUAGAUCAGGACACUUCGAUGCCCCUGUGCAGUUUUUGAGAAGGCUCGAUCUAUCUGAGCUGCUUACUCACAUCCCCAGGCAUAAAUUGAAUACUUUCCAUGUGCGGAUGGAAGACGAUGCCCAGGUGGGCCAAGGGGAGGACCUUCGGAAGUUUAUCCUUGCUGCUCUUAGUGCCAGCCACAGGAACGUUGUAAACUGUGCGCUAUGCCACAGGGCGCUGCCAGUGUUUGAACAGUUUCCGCUGGUGGAUGGGACCCUGUUCCUUAGCCCAUCGAGACACGAUGAGAUUGAAUAUGAUGUUCCCUGUCACCUUCAAGGAAGGCUUAUGCACCUCUAUGCUGUUUGUGUAGACUGCUUAGAAGGGGUUCACAAAAUUAUCUGCAUUAAGUGCAAGUCCCGAUGGGAUGGAAGCUGGCAUCAGCUGGGAACUAUGUAUACCUACGAUAUUCUGGCAGCAUCUCCCUGUUGUCAGGCUCGGCUGAACUGUAAGCACUGCGGGAAGCCAGUAAUAGAUGUACGGAUUGGCAUGCAGUAUUUCUCUGAAUACAGCAACGUCCAGCAGUGUCCUCACUGUGGAAAUCUAGACUACCACUUCGUGAAGCCAUUUUCUUCAUUUAAAGUUUUGGAGGCUUAUUGACGAAAGCUUUGCUUUAGUAAUAGCUAUUUUAUGGGUAUUUCAACUUUAUUACAUAUCUUUUUAUAGGAUUCAUUCUGUGAUGAAAUUAAUUUCUUUUCUAACUGAAAGAGCAGCUUCUUUGUCUGUGUACAUAUUAAUAUGUAUAUAUACAUGUUGUUAAAACCAGAAUCCUCCUGACAAGAUCUCUGUGAAGGUUGGAGGUAAGCCAAUUUAAUGGCCUUUGAAUAUAUCCCGAGUGUGGGGUAAAGUUCAGCUAAAAAUGAGUCAGUUUUAUUUUUUUGUAUAAUUGUAAUACAGUUUAUAGGAAGGGCAUGGGGAGAUGUACAGGACAGAGACAUAUGUCCGGUUGGAAAGUGGGUAAUUGUGUAGGGUUGUUAUCCCUCCAGCUUGAUGAAAAUGGGAAGUCCUUGGAAAGAAACCGUCCUGUUACUGUUGAAUUCAUUCAGCCUUUCGCAUCGGUUCCCAUGGGCACAGGAGCUGGUCCCGCGGGUGCUGCCAGUCACCUCAGCAGACUUUCUUUCAGAUUUCCCGAGAUGGUGUACACUAAGGAAGCAUCAUUCUAUUGGCACAAGACCCAAAUACUAGUUGAGGAUACUCAGCGGCUCUGAGCCGAGUCUUCGAUAAGACCUGGAGGCAGACAGCACCUCUGAGACCUGAGACACGAGGAAGAUCAAGAAACUGAAUCAGAAUCAAGGAUCAACAUUUUAGUAACAAAGGAAUAUUUUCUUUAAAGCUUUGUUUAAAUGAUUGCUAUGGUUACAAACUCUGUAACCAGGAUAGUCCGGUUACACAAAUAGUAAUUGAGUUUAGCCUGCUUUUUAAUCUCAGUUUUCUGCCAAAGAAUAUAUUGAACUGUGUGGGAGUCUUUCCUUGCCAUCAGGCAGCAUUUCCAUUCGAUGCAGUGAGCGCUAGAUUGGCUGGCCAGGCCGAUGGCGGAAAGGGAGCAGGCUGCAGACCUUGGCGUACGGCCGGGGAGGACAUGGGAACCGAACGGUCGGUAGCAGAACACCGUGUAAGCUGUGAUUCACUGCUGAAGGCGGUGUGGCAGCCAGGUUGGUUGGAGUACAAGUCAAGAGCAGAGUACGGGGCGUUUCCUGUUCAAAAGUUUUACGGCAGUUUUUCCUGAUGUUUUUGUAAGCAGUCCUCACUUAAAAAUUGGCAGUGCUUGUAGCUUGUUGAAUUUAACUUUCCGUGGCUCUGGCUGGAAGAGCCCCUCCCACCCGUGCUGGGGCUGAAGGGGUGCUCACAGCCGGGGGGGGCAUGGACCUGGCUCCUUCCAGACGCACCGAGCUGACUCUGCACCUCAGCGCUUGCAGGCACGAAAUGCAACGUGGAGAGGCUGAAGCCAGCCCUGGAGAGGGCCAGGGAUGGGUUUGACUGAGCUGAAUUAUUUUACCUCUGUGUUCAGCCUCCCUCAUCUGUAAUAUGCUUGUGACCUGCUUCUGAGGGCUAUUUAUCUUAAGGGUUUGCAUGGAAAAGGAAGGAAAAAAGGAACAACACGGGACUACCCCUGCUGCUGCACGUCAAUGGCAUAAUACCUGUUGCCCAGGGGAACAUAAAGCAUUGCGAGCUUGAAGUUCCCUGCACCACGCAGAUGUCUCGUGAGGGUCCUUGCUUCAUUACUCACGCGCUGGAAGAAGAUCGGCAGGGGCGUCCUGUUACUGCCGUGACGUGACUGCUUAGCGUGAGGCGUCGUGCCCGUGGAGGUGGAGCAGCUGUGCAGCAGGUGGAGCGGGAUCGCCUGGCCAUCUUUCUGCUCUUUGGGGCGAUCCUAUAGUAGAAGUCACUUUCAGGAGCUGCCUGUCUGUGUCUGGAACAAAUGAGAAAGGAGUAGCUUGCAGCAGAGCUGGGAAGCCAAGCCAGGAUUUUGGCAAUAUAGCUGUCUCCUGAAGUCUGUGGAAAUGAUGGUGUGCCUGUUUAUGCCAGAUGGGGAUUUGUACUAGUGCUUCAGAUAAUUGCUGGACAUCAGAAAUUCAGAGUACAGGUAUUGCUGAAAACAAGCACUGUAUAAAUUAGUCUAGUCAUGUGUUUGGCAGAUCUCUCAUUAACAAAGAAUUCUUAAUAAGAAUUAUAAUAUUAAUGAUGAAUUACCCUCUAAAUCCCUUUCACAGGAAGAAAAGAAUCAGAAAUCUGACUCAUACAGUAAGGUGGACAGGGUGCUUGAUGACUAGUUUAGUUUACUUGCAAUAUAAAAUUAGGCUUGGGAGAAACGGCUGUUAAGUACAAAGGGCUUCCUUUGGUGUGUCUGUCUUGUCAUUACCAUCGCUAGAGCCGGUAGGAGUGAAUGCCCGUAGCGCUGGGCACAGCCCAGUGCAAGAACGCCUUGAGAGGGGACUCUGUGGGUUGCACUUGGCUUUUGCCAAGGAUCGUGUCUGCGUGCUGGCACUCUCCUCCACGGGGAUGGUGGUGUCGUCACGGCCUCGCUGGAGGUUUGUUAUUUAUGUGUACUUUGGCAUGGUGUGAGUCUGACCUUCUCUGAUGAAAAUGUGCUGGCAGGAGAGGAGCGCUGGAGAGCCCAGCCCCAUUCUGCCCCUGGGCUGGGAGCACGGCUGCCCUGUUGUCCCUUUGCUGCUCAGCUGCCACUUCUGUGCAAACACACACCUGAAGCAGCUGGACUUUCCAAGCCAGAUUAUUAUUGAAUCCUCUCUCCCCCCUGUGCUCAGCUGCUGAUUAGUAGAAACGUAGUUUUGUGAGCCAAGCCAGAGAGAGUGGUCCAAAUUUCAAAGUGGGUGUGUAAAAUCUCCAGAAAAAAUAUUGUGUAACUCUGAACUCUCAUUUUCUUCUGAUUGUUUUGAUGGACGUAAGGGCACAAUAAACGUGCAUCUGAGAGCUUGCACUGCUUUAACUGCAUCAAUUUGAAAAUGAACAGGCAUGAACAAGACCCAGAAACCUCUCUAUUGCACUUUUGAAAACCUGUAGUGUGGUAGUGAGGACCCCAAAAUAAGCCUGACUUUUCUCCAUAGUACCGUUGCUCCCUCUGACUGCUGCAGGUGUAGGCUGCAUGGGCACAGUGGAAGAUAGUUCAGACAGGCUUUUGAGUCCUGGAGUCAAUAACGCAAGGGCACAAAUGAUGUGAACUUCAUCAUAGUGUCUUAACCUUGCCCCUGGCUUCUGGGACCAAGUAGUAGACACCUCACAAGUCUUAGCAGUUAAGUAGUUAAUCAUCAGCUGUGACUGUGACUCUUAGCUAAGUUGUUUCAGCAGAAGUGUUUGAAACAAAAAUACAUACCCAACAGACUUCGAAAUGGUCAUCGUGCAUUUAUUGUUCAGACUUUGCUGGUUGGAGUACCCCUGGGAGAUGCCCUGUAGUGUACGUUUCCUAGAGUGGCUUCUCAGUGGUAGGCUGGUAUGACAAGACAAAAAGUCUUUACAAGACCGACUUAAGCUUCUUAACCUUUAAGGAUUAGAAAAGACUUUUGCUUAUUUUGUUUUCUCUGAUUGAAUGUAACACACAUGGGUGUCCUUUAACCAAGUUCUCGUGGUGCUGCAUUUUUCUUCUUACUAAUCCUUAUAACAUUUUGCCUGGCAAGUAGGAACAGAACAUGUGGAAAAUUCAUACACCUGUGUAAAUGUUAUUGUUAACAAUUACUACUCUGCUGAGGACUUGGAAAGAUUUGCCAAAGCCUCAGGAGAACUUUAUCAAGUGUAGGAACCUGAGCCUUUGGGAGGUAGGGCCCAAGUAACUGAUGCUGUGUCACACAUCCCAUUGGAGCUGCAGCUGCAGGGAGUGAGGAUUUUGCAUUCCCAGCAGACCUGGAUGAACCCACCUGUUUGCCAACAGUUGCUCCUCUACUCAGCUGGCACAGCUGCCUACGUAGUCAUCCCCUCAGCAAAGCAGGUCAAAAUGAUCUGGUUUGCUUGAGCAUUUUCCUGACUAAACCUAAAGCUGCCUGAUGCGUUUUCACCAGACAGGGUUAAGAAAUGAUCACACGUGCUGGUACGCUGACAAAAUCAAUGAGGGGUUAAGCUGUGGUGGAGUUCACGGUGAGGUACUGGGGAGACUGGGGGAUGAAUGGGGAGUGGUGUCUGCUUCGCUUGGAUAGCAGCAGCUUGAGCAGGCAGGGAAUUCACUGCUGCAGUUAAGCAUGUACGUGGGGUCUCGUGGCAUGAAAUAAGGGCGUCCCAUGUCAUCUCAACAAAAGAUGAGCGGAGGGAGCUGGGUUUGUGCGUCUGGAGAAGACUUGGAGGGAAUGAACUGUCGUCUUCAACUAAUGAUGGGAGGCUAUGGAGAAGAAAGUGGUGCGCAGUGGCGAGGUGAGAGGCCAAGGGCAUGGUCUGCACCAAGGAGUAUUAGAAGGAAAACCAUUUCCCUGUGAAGGUAAUCAAGCAUGGGAAGAAGUACCCAGAGAUGGGAAAUCUCUAUCCUUGGAAAUACUCAAAACUGACAGGACCUGAGCAACCUGAAGUAACUUCAGAAUUGGUCCUGCUUCCCUUAGGAAGCGGAGUUAACCUCUAGAGGUCCUUGCCAACAUAAAAUAUUCUAUGGUUAUAAUUUUUAUGGCAUUUUAAAUUAGAUUAAAGCAAUUAAUCUUGCUGAGAAGUAAAUGUUGAUAUGCAGGCUUGCACUCUAAAUAACUCACAACCACAUUCUCUGCCCCAAUUUUACAUGUAGGAAGAUGAGGCAGAAAGAUCAGUCAUUUGUCUGAGAUACAGGGUCCCAAGAGAAGGGGUUAUAAUACAAAAGUUGCAGGGGUUUCAGGUGCACAACCUGCUGUUGCAUUGUAUUUUUCCCCCUGCCAUCUACCAGUGCCGAUGGGAUUCUCCAGGGUGCAGCGAGGAUCCCAGCUCCUCCCUGCGGGAGAAGGGCACCAAGCAGAGCAGCGAUGUUGCAGUGUGUCCCUGCACUGUGGUGUUACGAAGCUUACACUGUUGAAAUGCUUUACUACAGCUCUGCAGAUCUAUGAUGUGCUUCAUAGCUAUAAUAGAACAUGCCACAUCGUAUAACAUGCUACAUUAAUAUAUAAUUAAGAUAUUAGUAUGGUAUAUGUUAAUUCACUGGUAACUGCGGAUGAAGCUGUGUUCUAUCAAGAAUCUCUGUUGGUUUGUGUAUAAUAGAGACAUAGAAAUAGACAAUAGCAAAGAUAAUAACCUGAAGAUAUGGAAGGCUUAGGCAGGUUAAUGGCAGCCACAGUUCUGCAUACAGAAGGUGACUGUGAUCUUUUGUAGAAGGAGAAGUUCAGUCUCCUUUCUGGGGAGCCAGCUGAACGUAUGAUGCUGUUGUAUACCAUGCUUGUAAAUUGCAGUUAUUUUAAUCUGUAUUUUCGAGUGUUGUGCGUGUAUUUAAUGAUGCAGAAAAUGAUAGGUGAGGAGGAACUGGAUGACCUAGGCAGGUGCAGAGAACUGCUGAGUAAGACAUCGCUUGUGGUAGCAGGCCCAUCUCUUCCUGACCCUGUGUCAAGCUGCUAUUUCUGUUGUCAAGACUUUUCUGAACAGACUUUCUAGCUGUACAGAAUAGCACCAGUCGAAAGUGUGGUUUGGUCUGGUAGUCUAGCAAUGGUAUAGAAGCACAAACUUAAAACAAAAACUGUCUUCAGUUGAUGUAAUUCAGUUGUGACCCUGAAUUUCAGGAGGUAACACUGCAUUACCAACCCACAAAAAAAGGCUGAUUCUAAUGAAAAUGACAUAGACCACCCCUUUUUCCUUUCUUUGAAACAAAUGCCUCAUUUUCUUUACAUUACAUUCAGCCUCCAGUGUAACAGAAAGAUGAGUAUUUUGUAUUCUGGGGUGCUGUUAAGGUUUAAAACCAUUUUGUAGUACAAUAAGCAAAGAAAGAAAGAAACUCAGUACAUUCAUACUGCUGAGGGAAUUUGCCAAUUAGGAUCUACCAGAAUGACUGGGAGCAGAGAAAUGAUCCUUGAAGUUUGAGCAAUCACCUCACUGCUGGCACACAACCUGUUCUCCUGUGUGAGAACCCAUGGUGUUCUCACCCAUGGAAGAGCGAAAGCUUCCAUUUUCUUUGUAAGCAGAAAUGUGACGCACAGUUCCAAAUGCUGGAGCUAGUCAUUAUCGUCAUGUGUUGGGCAUUGUGUCUUCCCCAUCUUUUGUGUAGAGGGUCAGACUGCGAUUUAAAAUACAACUUUUCAAAUUCUGUUUUCAGUCCAGGAGUUUUCUGCUAAAAUAGUCAAUGGAAAGGCUACCAUUAACUCUGAGAACAGUGUUAUGCUCCAGAGUUAACAUCCAAAUAAAAUGAAUGGGUUCUCGUCAUGCAGCUGCGCGUAUUUGUCCCUCUGCUAUGUGGAUUCCUUUACGAGCAAAGGGUGAAGUUCAAUUAGCAGUUAUUGUGACCAGAAUUCAGGUCAUAGUUUCAUGAGAUACUGUCACAAAAAACCCCCACCCAACUGGAUCACUGCAGUGAUCUGAGUUAAAAUUAGCUCUUCUUGGUGGUGAUGAUGGUGGGAUAUUUUUAAUCAUCUGGCUUGUUUGAGUGACCCAGUUCAAGUGCAGCCGUGCAGCAGCACGCUGGCGAGGGCAGUGGGUGCAGCGUGUGGGUGGGAGCGGUGCCUUGAACAGGGAACGGGGGAAGAAGCUGAAGUCAUGUUACUGCUAGAGCCGGCAUUUUAUUUUUAAUUCUGUGGAAACUGGUGGAAACACCCAGGAAGAGAUAGCUGAAUAACAUGAUGACUAGCACAACUUCACUGUCCUCCUGGGAUUUGCUUAAGGUUUUUUCUGUGUGCGGUUGCUGUGACGCUGGAGGUGUUCGGCUUGUGACUUUGUUUUUCGGAAACUGAACUAGCUGGCAGUUUGUAGGCUCAAGCUUUCUGGUGUUAGCCAUAGGGCACCAGGACCACCUAAAAUGAGAAAAUAGAAAUUUCAGAAAACUGAUGAAUCUCAGCAAAUGCUGAUUUUAAAAAAGGUAUUGAUUUUUGUUGUUGUUUUUGGUAAUACCCUCCAGAGGGAUGGAUUGAAAAGGAGACUGAGAAUCACAGUGCCCAACUUUAACAUUGCUGACACCUGGCAAAUCAUGGAACCAUAAAGCUAGGACGGACCUUGCAAGGUUCCCUGUCUGGGUGAGGUCUAGCAUGGUCCGUGUGCCCAAGUCAUACAAGCCAGCUCUUCCAGCCCUGUUACCAUUUUGGUAAGGUGCCCAGCCCUGUGUCCACAGCACAACUUGCUGAGCUGGCACAUGGUGAUGGCACCUCGGAGACCUCUGCGGUCACCUGGUGCCUAGACCAUAACCCUUUCUUUAAGGGUUCCACAGUGUCAUAUAGCGCACCUUCUCCCUCUGGGCUGCAAAGGCAGAUGCUGCCACAGCCUGCCAUUCGAGGUAGCUUUUUUGGCCUAGAAAACUGCCCACCUUUGCAAACUGGAAGUGAUGUGAUAUAUGAGUGAUCUACCAGAGGACCUUCUUGUGGCCUGAGUGUUACUGAUGUGCGGGGGCACAUGGAUGCUCAAAAGCCCUUUGCUCUUCACAGCUUCCACACUGAGUGAAAUACCAGCACCUCAACCCCAUAGUAAGCCAGUUUUGGGAGCCACACCAGCAAAAAAGAAGAUAUUGUUGUUUUUUUUUAAAGGUUGGUUUUCUGCCAGGUUAAACCCCAAACCAGCCCACAGCUGUGUCAGAGGGAUGCCAGCACCCAAACAGGAGACAAGGCUGUGACACCAAGCACAAGUGGAGAGAGGAGGAUUCCUUCUGUGGUAGCUAGUCUUUAAAAGCAUAAAGUUACUCUGCUGCUCACAACAGUUGUCUGUCUGGUCCUGUAUUCUGUCUCCGGCUGUGGCAACAGGAAGAUCACACUUUAGGUAGAUGUGGUGGGUUGACCCAGGCCGGAGGCCGGGUGCUCCCCAAAGCCACAGUGUCACUGCCCUCCUCAGCUGGGCAGGGGAGAGAAAGCAUAACGAAAGGCUCGUGGGUUGAGAUAAGGACAGGGAGAGAUCGCUCACCAGUUACCAUCACAGGCAAAACAGACUCGACUUAGAAAAAAUUAAUUUAUUACCAAGCAAAACAGAGUAGACUAAUGAGAAAUAAACCCAAAUCUUAAAAACACCUCCCCCACCCCUUCCUUCUUCCCGGGCUUAACUUCACUCCCAAUUUCUCUCCCUUCUUCCCCCAGCAGCACAGGGGGAUGGGGAAUGGGGGUUGUGGUUAGUUUGUCACACAUUGUGUCUGCUGCUUCUUCCUCCUCAGGGGGAGGACUCCUCACGCUCUGCCCCUGCUCCAGCAUGGGGUCCCUCCCAUGGCAGGGAGUCCUCCACGAAACUCUCCAAUGGGAGUCCCUCCCACAGGCUGCAGUUCUUCAGGAACUGCUCCAGCGUGGGUCCCUCUCACGGGGUGCAGACCUUCAGGAGCAAACUGCUCCAGUGUGGGUUCCCCACGGGGUCACAAGUCCUGCCAGCAAACCUGCUCCAGCAUGGGCUCCUCUCUCCGUGGGUCCUGCCAGGAGCCUGCUCCAGCACAGGCUUCCCACGGGGUCACAGCCUCCUUUGGGUACCUCCGCCUGCUCUGACCAGGGGUCUUCCACGGGCUGCAGGUAGAAUCUCUGCUCCACCAUCAUCCCCCAUGGGCUGCAGGGGGACAGCCUGGCUCACUGUGGUCUUCUCCAAGGGUUGCAGGGGAAUCUCUGCUCCAGCACCUGGAGCACCUCCUCCCCCUCCAUCUGCACUGACCUUGGUGUCUGCAGAGUUUCUCACAUCUUCUCACUCCUCUCUCUGGCUGCAAAAAACUGCUGCUCAUUUUUUUUUGCCUUCUUAACUAUGUUAUCCCAGAGGUGCUGCCACUGUUACCGAUGGUGGUGGUCAGCGAUGGGUCCAUUUUGGAGCCAGCUGGCAUUGGCUCUGUUGGACGUGUGGGGAGCUCCUAGCAGCUUCUCACAGAAGCCACCUCUGUAGCCCCCCGCUACCACAAACCUUGCCACACAAACCCAAUAGAGUAGAGCUGCGAUUAAGUAGUAAGAGAGCAGGAUUUUGGUGCACCUGAGCUGACCUAGUAGUUUGCUGCUGCCAGAAGGACUAUUCCUACUUUAUCCGUCAGCACUCUAACAUGCUGGAAAAUAAUCCUUUUUCCCUUAGUUGGAUUACUUUUCUGUUGGGCUAGUGAGUUAGAUCAGUUCAUCGGAGAGCCUGACAGGCACUGGAGCCAUUGCAGAGGAGGGUCUGCAGAGCUGUAAGCUGGUGAGACCUCCCCCGUUGUGGAGACAGAGAGCUGUUGCAGCAGCUCAAAUGGUGUUGUCAGCCCUGACCUAGUUCUCAUGUGAAAUGAAACCUGAAUCUAAUAAUAUUUUGUUCUAUUUUUAACAAGGUCUAUCCAGCAAGCUGCAGUAAGCAGAAUAGGUUUAGACCCAUCACUGGGUGGGAAAAGUGUGAGAAAGAGCGAAGAGCUGCAGGAAGUGGUUGAAGAAACGGUGCUCUGCCUUUCAUCCUUUCUGAGGAGAGGAUGUGAGCUGGAGCACUGCAGCACUCGGUGUUUGGAUGAGCUGCAAAGCGGAGGCCGUGGCCACUUGUGGUCAAUAAAGAUUGCUUUUUUGGCACCUUUCCUAAAAGUAGCUUUGUUAAACGCAAUGCGUUGGCCAAAUUCUAAUUGAGUAAAUCCGUUCUGUCUCUCUCAGGGCCCCUGAAGUAUCGGCUGAGGUAAAAUGUUCACUUCAUAGGAACAGAGGACUUGCUAAUGGCCCAGUAAUUCAGCCCCUUGGAUGGGAUUCUCAUUGGAUGUCAACUUGUGGAGCUCAGCUGGCUCCAAAGGAGCUACUCUGAUUUACACCUGCAAAGACUUGGACCAUUAUUUUCUGAUGAUGGCAGCACCAGAAUUAUCAAGGCAAGGCACAAAAAAUAGGCAAUUAGGGAAUAAAGUGGUCACUGAAAAGGUUUCUUUCUAUUACCAGACAGUUAGUGGUUGGAUUCUGCUCUGAAGGUUUAUACCUAGUGAAAGCCUCUGUCCUGACUCUCGGUAUUUCUGCAGUGUAUUGCUGUUGUGUUACAACCCGGAGCAGGUGGCCCUCAGCCCAAAGUGAAGUCAUUCCUUAACAUUUACAGCUUGAAAAGUAUUUUGGGAUCCUCUGAAGACACUCUCUGUGGUUUAUUUUGAUAAUCAGUGUAUAAAAUUAUUCAUGAAAAUAAGAGGACUUCCUGAACAUCCUUUUUUUUCCCUUUUUUUUUUCUUUCCAGAAAAAAGGAAUAUUUUACUAAUAGAGAACUUUUUUCUUGAUCAGUGAACAUGAGAUAUUUUCUUAAUCUUUGUCUUAUGGCUUGUGGCCACAGGGUGCAACACCUUAGCCCAACUUUAGAAUCUUUUUUGUGCUGAGCGUAAAGUGUUUUGCUAAGACAGCCUUUCUCUCAGGUUAGAUUACAAGUGUGUCAUCUGCACCUCAAAGCUGAAUCCUACUAACUUUGACAGAGACAGACUUGUAUUUAAGCCUCUCCCUUUUUUUUCUUUUAAGCAUAAAAAUAUUUUCAAUGAGAUAAACAGAGAAAACAACCUCAAAUCAGAGAUGCAUAGAGGAAAAAAAAAAAAAAAGCAAGGAUCCAAAUACAGGGAAAUGUGAAGUUUUUCCCAGUCUUCCAGUCAGGACCACAAGCAGCUGUGACAGGGAGGGAGGAUGAUGUGGCUGUUCCCUCCUUAUGGGGCAUCCUUAUGGGACACAGAGCACAUGCCCCAUUAGGUAACAUGAAUGGGUGUAUGUGCAUGCCUUCGUCGCAUCCUCAGGGUAAAUCCAGGACUGCCCUAGCCUGGAGCAUGACUUCAGUUGCUCUGUGGGGGCCUGCAUAUGUUAUGUGUCUCCCUUGAGUAGGAUCAAAGAGCAAAGAGCAUUCCCUUUAGACCCUUGUCCAUACACAUGUGAUGUAGAUAUUGUAAAAUACACUAUUCUGGGCUUAUUUCUGAACCAUUAGCUCUUUUAGCUCUUCACAUGCCCUUUCUUUCAGACUGUCUCCAAAUAUAAGCAGUGUGGAAGCUACUUUGCCGAUGUAGAAAACUGCUCACAAAUGGCAUAUGGCCUGGCAUCUUUCUUUGCCACCCUUCUCCCAAGGUCAGGACUGAAAUUUAAGAACCUCCACCACUCCUUGCCAUGCCUGCGGAGAGGGAGCUGGCCCAUGGUUUGUUCAACCCUCUGUGGCCCACGAGCAAUUACUGCUUGACUGGCUGUGUUGGGUCAAGUGUGAUGAGUGGCCGGGGCUGCAGGGUGACCUGAGCUGUCACCACAUCAAGCUGUGAGCCAGUGGGGACUGUGGAUGUCGACAACUCUGGGUUUCCCUGGGGUUUGAGCGCUGGCCCAGCACUGUCCUGCCACAGCCACAACCAUCGUCUCCUCCUGCGUUUUGAAAGGCAUGCGAUAAGUCUUUUCUAAGUAGAAAAAACAGCAUUGCACAGUAGUGAACCAUGUUAGUGCAAAAAAUUCAGGGGAAGGGGAGCCUGCCAGUGCAGCAAACACCCUUUCUCCGUGUCUGCCCUUCCCUGUCCUCCCAAGUCCCGCAUCCAGCUGGCAUGUGCUGCAUUGCUGGGCAGGUUGACUCGAGGGCAGGGUCAUCACUGUUCCUUAUGCUCGCCCCUUGGCUCAGCAAAGGUCAUGGGUGAACGUUAGUAUAAACAGCCAUGCAGGGGGUAGUGUGUGGGCCCAGGAGAGGAACGGGUCCUGCUGCCAUUUCAUAAUAAAGUAAAAAGAAAAGUCUAAAUUCAAUACUGAUGAGCACGAUGAUGAUCAUUGCAAAGAGACAGGGACAGUGUGAAUCCGGAGACGACUGCAUAUGCGGUUGAUUGCAGUCUGACUGACAAAGUGAAUUUAAAGACGGCAUUAGUAGUGAAGCCUAGAAUGACAGUUUCACUGUAUUUUACCGUACGUCCCUGUUCUGGGUCACUUGCACUAUGGCUGCAGUUCUGUCAUCUGGAUUGUAUAUUCCGUGCCUGUGUCUACUUUUGUUCAGUUCUGUGGGAAAAGUUAAGCUGAAACAGAUAGGCUGUUUCUUACAAGUCUUUUAUCAACAAGAUUUAUCACUACUGUGGUCUGCCACAGGGAUCAGAAAUUAGGUGAGAGGGUCAUGUUAGCAUCAUGGAUGUGAUUUUAGUUGUCAUCAUGAAAAUCCCCUCACAUUUGGAUAAACUCUGCGUUAUGGAAAAAAUGUUAUGUUUUAUAUGUUCAGUGGGGGAGCUGUUAAAUUUUUGAGGUGACAAAGGUCAGACACGCAGAAAA